GAUAAAACCACUGUGCCCAGCGUACAGCUCUACUUAAAGGACUCCAGGGUGGAGCUGUUUAUUGUUCUUAGCAUCAUGGUGGUUUUUACUGUGGCGACUGUGGUUUUGCUCAAUGUGUACGCUUUGAUGGUGUUUGGUGUUCCAGUUCAUGGCCGUUCUUCAGACAAUGAGCGUACUAUGCAAAACACCAGAGGGGAUGAUGCAGGUGAAGAUUCUGUUGCCACCCCUACACCAAAUCCCCCAAACCAUACUACCUCAGCCCAAACGCAAGCUACUGGUGAAGCAAGUGAAGAUGCUGUAGUUACCGCCACACUAAAUUCUCAAAACAAGACCACAUCUUACCAGCCUGGAGUGACUGGUGAGGCAAGUAAAGAUGCUGUGGUUGCCACCCCAACACCGAAUCUCCAAAACCUGACUACCUCUGCCCACACUGAAGCUACUGAUGAGCCCAGUGAAGAUGAUUCAGUUACUACCCCAGCACCGGUUCCCCCAAACCUGACUACUUUGGCCCAAAAUGAAACUACAGGCAAUAUACUCUGCAAUACUUAAAUAAAUACAAAGCUUUGAGGAUUUUUUUCUGAAUAUUGAGGAGGUUUUUGUGUUUGACAACAUCUGCCUUCACCAAAGCAACUG
ensembl:lncRNA